rnacentral:rRNA from 1 species
UACGUAGGUGGCAAGCGUUGUCCGGAUUUACUGGGCAUAAAGGAUGCGUAGGCGGAUAUUUAAGUCAGAUGUGAAAUUCCCGGGCUCAACUUGGGAGCUGCAUUUGAAACUGGAUAUCUAGAGUGCGGGAGAGGUGAGUGGAACUCCGAGUGUAGAGGUGAAAUUCGUAGAUAUUCGGAAGAACACCAGUGGCGAAGGCGGCUCACUGGCCCGGUACUGACGCUGAGGUGCGAAAGCGUGGGGAGCAAACAGG